UGUCGGACAUUCUCAAACCUACCUUCUCCAAAACAAUAAUCAACACAAAUAAAAUUAUGAUCUCCACUGUGGUAUCAGUCUAUUUAAAUCAAACUGAAGACAACAUGCAACUUACCCCACCAGUCAAUGUAACUUUUAAGCACACUGAUAUAGCACCUAUAUCCGCUCUUUUGUGUGUGUCCUGGAAGAAGACAGAAUGGGUUCAGGAUGUCUGUGACAUCAUAGAUACUAACAUCAGUCAUUCUGUGUGCUCAUGUAAUCAGCUGGGUGUGUUUGCUCUCUUCAGGGAGAGUGACCUAUGCAUGAAUACCUCGACAGUCCCUUGCGUGGAGAAUUUACUGAAAAAAGAUCAGAACAGCACGACUCUAUUAUUAC